CGCCCGCUCGGCCGCCCCUCUCUCCCGCCGGUUCGCGGGCCUCUCGCCCUCCCGCCACCGCUCUCGCGCUUGUGCCGCGUCUCGCGCGUGGUCUUCUCGUGAGGGACCUCGCGCCGCAGGGCGCGUGCCGUCCCCCUGCCUCGCGGCGCGGGGUCUCGCGGGCCCCGCUCCCGCCCUCCGCUCGCCUGGCCCGGACCGGAAGCGGCGCCGCACGGCCUGGGCCUGGCGCGGGGGGCGGGCUCUGGGGCCCGGUCGGACAUGGGCAAGAAGCACAAGAAGCACAAGUCGGACCGACACUUCUACGAGGAGUACGUGGAGAAGCCCCUGAAGCUGGUCCUCAAGGUGGGAGGGAGCGAAGUCACUGAGCUCUCCACGGGCAGCUCCGGGCACGACUCCAGCCUCUUCGAAGACAGAAGCGACCAUGACAAACACAAGGACAGAAAACGGAAAAAGAGGAAGAAAGGAGAGAAGCAGGCUCCGGGGGAAGAGAAGGGGAGGAAAAGGAGAAGAGUCAAGGAGGAUAAAAAGAAGCGAGAUCGAGACCGUGUGGAGAGCGAGGCAGAGAAAGAUCUCCAGUGUCAUGCCCCUAUAAGAUUAGACUUGCCUCCUGAGAAGCCUCUCGCAAGCUCUUUAGCCAAACAAGAAGAGGUAGAACAGACACCCCUUCAAGAAGCUUUGAGUCAACUCAUGAGACAAUUGCAAAGAAAAGACCCAAGUGCUUUCUUUUCAUUUCCUGUGACGGAUUUUAUUGCUCCUGGCUACUCCAUGAUAAUUAAACACCCAAUGGAUUUUAGUACCAUGAAAGAAAAGAUCAAGAAUAAUGACUACCAGUCCAUAGAAGAACUAAAGGAUAACUUCAAGCUAAUGUGUACUAAUGCAAUGAUUUACAACAAGCCAGAGACCAUUUAUUAUAAAGCUGCAAAGAAGCUGUUGCACUCAGGGAUGAAAAUUCUUAGUCAGGAGAGGAUUCAGAGCCUGAAACAAAGUAUAGACUUCAUGGCAGACUUGCAGAAAACUCGGAAGCAGAAAGAUAGAACAGAUGCCUCUCAAAGUGGGGAAGACAGUGGCUGCUGGCAGCGAGAAAGGGAAGACCCUGGAGAUGCUGAGGCACAAGCCUUCAAAAGCCCCAACAAGGACAAUAAAAAGAAAGACAAAGAUAUGCUUGAAGACAAAUGGAGAAGCAGCAACUCGGAAAGGGAGCACGAGCAGAUUGAGCGCGUUGUCCAGGAGUCAGGGGGCAAGCUGACCCGGCGGCUGGCAAACAGUCAGUGUGAAUUUGAACGAAGAAAACCAGAUGGAACAACAACCCUAGGACUUCUCCAUCCUGUGGAUCCCAUUGUAGGAGAGCCAGGUUACUGCCCUGUAAGACUGGGGAUGACGACUGGAAGACUGCAGUCUGGAGUGAACACGCUGCAGGGGUUUAAAGAGGAUAAAAGGAACAGAGUAACCCCAGUGUUAUACUUGAAUUAUGGACCCUAUAGUUCUUAUGCCCCACAUUAUGACUCUACAUUUGCCAAUAUCAGCAAAGAUGAUUCUGAUUUAAUCUAUUCAACAUAUGGGGAAGACUCUGAGCUUCCAAACAAUUUCAGCAUCUCUGAGUUUUUGGCCACAUGCCAAGAUUACCCGUAUGUUAUGGCAGAUAGUUUACUGGAUGUUCUAACAAAAGGAGGACAUUCCAGGAGCCUACAGGACUUGGACAUGUCAUCACCUGAAGAUGAAGGCCAGACCAGAGCAGUGGACACAGCAAGAGAAGCAGAGCAGAAUACACAAAUAGAGCCAACAGGGCGCUUGGAGUCCAGCAGUCAGGACAGGCUCACAGCACUGCAAGCAGUAACAAACUUUGGCGCUCCAGCUGAAGUCUUUGACUCUGAAGAGGCUGAGGUGUUCCAGAGGAAGCUUGAUGAGACUACAAGAUUACUCAGGGAGCUCCAAGAGGCACAGAAUGAGCGGCUGAGCACCAGGCCUCCUCCCAAUAUGAUCUGUCUUUUGGGUCCUUCUUACAGAGAAAUGUACCUUGCUGAACAAGUAACCAAUAACCUUAAAGAACUCACACAGCAAGUGACUCCAGGUGAUGUUGUAAGCGUACAUGGAGUCCGAAAAGCAAUGGGAAUUUCUGUUCCUUCCCCCAUCAUGGGAAACAGCUUCGUAGAUUUGACAGAAGGAGAGCCUUGCUGGGAAGCCCUAGCCACUACCAGAUUCCUUUGUGCAAACUGAAUCAGCCCUUCUUCCCUGGGCUGAUAAAGCUCCACAGGACACAGUACAGGCAGAAGGUCCUGUCUCCCUCCCUCUGCACCCCUGGCUACUCAUCCUUGGACCAAAGUCUCAGGAGGUUCCUUGGUGACUGCUAGCUAAGAGCCAUGAUAUGGUGAAGUUCUGUGGCAGUGGAGUCAUUUCCAAGAAGGAGUGGGAUGUUUGGUCAUCUCAUUUUGAAUGGUCUGGAGCACAGGAAGACACCAUCUCACAAAGCUGGCUUUUGCCUUGACUUGUCUGAGAACAACUUGGCAUUUGUUAAGGGCCUCAAUUCACAGGCCAAGGUCCUUAACACGUGUUCCCGCCAGGUAGAUUGUACUUGAAGCUAUGCAGAGUCAGCUCAGAAGAUUGAAGGAAAGACAAGGGGUACACAGGUUAUCCAAGCCUUCUCUAUACAGGCUUUCCCACGGAAAGAAAGCUGGACAUAGUAGUGUACAUGAGUAAUUGAAGCUCCAGGAGACUGAAACAGGAAGGUUGAAAAUGAGACCAACCUAGGCUGACUCUGUCUCCAAAAAAAUAAAGUGCAGACAAAAGAA